GGCCUGACACUCUUUGAUAGAGAAAGAUAGUCUUAUUGCGAUUCCUAUAAGAGGAAAGAGAAAAUAGUGCAAUGCUUUGUCUUUAUCACCGACCGGGUUUUUUUUCAUGGUCGGGUUAUGGCAGCUUAGGAAGGAGGGUGAUGGCGAUAUACAGAAAUUUAUAAGAGUGAAAGAGACAAAAUCCCGCAAGAUGCCAUACAUUAAACUGUCAAUCAUAUUGUCAAGAGUGCUAGUAAACAACGUGGUUUUCUUAUUGUAGAAGUUUUAUAAAGUGAAUGAUUGUGUUUAUUAAGUAUUUAAUGGAGGUGUAAGAAGUUUUUACGUACAAUUAACAUGGUGGGGUGUUCAGUGGUUGCCUACAAAAGCAAUAACUUGCGAAAAUAAGCGGGUGUAACAUUUCAUGCCUCUCCGACGGAGGAUGAAAUUGUUAAAGAAUGGAUUGCGGGAACUGGAAAAUCAAAUUGGAUGCCUCACAAAUACUCGCGUAUUUGUUCCAAACAUUUUGAACAACAUUGUGUCCGCAAACUGGGCAAACGAACUUUCAUCGAAAAGUUUUCUUUUCCAACCUUGUUCAUACACGAGAGGAGAGAGAAAAUUCUUUUCUUCAUCAUGUCAUGGAAAUCGUCCAUUCGUGCACGUCGUCGUCGUGGCAGUCUCAACAGCAUUCUGAAGCUAUUAUUGAACUUCAUAUAAUUGAUCCACAGGUUACAAGUGUAUGUGUAAAUAAAGUUUUCUUGACCCCCACAAUAUGUACAACGCGCAACACGUAAGAUUUUUUAUUUAAACAUAAAUAUUCGGUUUUAAGUAACAGUUUUAAUGUAAAUGACCAUGUCAACUUAAAAUCAUAUACUGCGAAUCAAUAUUAUAGCUAUAAAUGUCAGUGCGCUGUGUUCCUUUUCAAUAUCCGCAUCGUCCUUUAGAUUUUUAAUAAUUAUAUGUCCUAGGUAUUAAAAAAUGAACACUCUGCUCAAGGCAAAACCACCGAGUGUCACCGGUUCAACUAUCGGUAGGAUUACCUGCUCGGAAGAUGAGUAUCUUACGUUUUUAGUAAUAUUGAUGAGCCAAUGAGAAUCUGCAUACGUGUCAUACACCUUUCAAUCAAUAAAUUUUUUCAAAAAUUCAAUUUAUUUGUGUUGUUCUCAAGUAAAAGGUACCGCAUUGUCGCUUAUCAUAAGGACGCUCUUACAGGUUAUUCGUAUAGAGAGCAAGCAAAUUGUAUCCUUAUGGUAAGCGACUAUGUGGUACCUUUUACUUGAGAACGACACAUUUAAUUAUUAUUUCUAGUAAGUACAGUUAUAAUAAUAUAAGUUUUGAAUAAAGAAAUUACCUCUUUUGAUA